AAAAGGUGGCUAUGCUACCGCUUUUGGAUGGGCCCGCGGCGCAUUAGCUAGUUGGUGGGGUAAAGGCUUACCAAGGCAAUGAUGCGUAGCCGAACUGAGAGGUUGAUCGGCCACAUUGGGACUGAGACACGGCCCAAACUCCUACGGGAGGCAGCAGUAGGGAAUCUUCCACAAUGGGCGAAAGCCUGAUGGAGCAACGCCGCGUGGGUGAAGAAGGUCUUCGGAUCGUAAAACCCUGUUGUUAGAGAAGAAAGUGCGUGAGAGUAACUGUUCACGUUUCGACGGUAUCUAACCAGAAAGCCACGGCUAACUACGUGCCAGCAGCCGCGGUAAUACGUAGGUGGCAAGCGUUAUCCGGAUUUAUUGGGCGUAAAGGGAACGCAGGCGGUCUUUUAAGUCUGAUGUGAAAGCCUUCGGCUUAACCGGAGUAGUGCAUUGGAAACUGGGAGACUUGAGUGCAGAAGAGGAGAGUGGAACUCCAUGUGUAGCGGUGAAAUGCGUAGAUAUAUGGAAGAACACCAGUGGCGAAAGCGGCUCUCUGGUCUGUAACUGACGCUGAGGUUCGAAAGCGUGGGUAGCAAACAGGCUUAGAUACCCUGGUAGUCCACGCCGUAAACGAUGAAUGCUAAGUGUUGGAGGGUUUCCGCCCUUCA
rnacentral:rRNA from 1 species